rnacentral:lncRNA from 1 species
CAACAACAACAACAACAACAAACCCAGUGUAUUCCCACCUAGUGGGGUCUGGGGGGGGUAAGAUGUACGCAGUCCAUACCUCUACCUCUAAAGAAGUAGAAAGGCUGUUUCCGAUAGACCCCCGGCUCAAGGCACGAGAUACCACACAAACACAUAGUAAAGCACAGCACACGAUUACAUAUCAUAAAUACGGCACCCAUAAGUAAUAUAAAACAGAGAAAAGCACACAGAUUCGUAAUAAAACAU